UACGGGGGUGCGAGCGUUGUCCGGAAUCACUGGGCGUAAAGGGCGCGUAGGUGGUGGCUUAAGCGUGCGGUGAAAGCUCGGGGCUCAACCCCGAGUCGGCCGUGCGAACUGGGCUCACUGGAGCAUAGUAGAGGCAGGUGGAAUUCCGGGUGUAGCGGUGGAAUGCGUAGAGAUCCGGAAGAACACCGGUGGCGAAGGCGGCCUGCUGGGCUAUGGCUGACACUGAGGCGCGACAGCGUGGGGAGCAAACAGG
rnacentral:rRNA from 1 species